rnacentral:rRNA from 1 species
UACGUAGGGGGCAAGCGUUGUCCGGAUUAUUGGGCGUAAAGCGCGUGUAGGCGGCCAGGUAGGUCGGUUGUGAAAAUUGGAGGCUCAACCUCCAGACGCGAUCGAAACCAUCUGGCUAGAGUCCGGAAGAGGAGAAUGGAAUUCCUGGUGUAGCGGUGAAAUGCGCAGAUAUCAGGAGGAACACCGGUGGGCGAAGGCGGCUCACUGGCC